AGCAUCGGCCGGGAAUCAAACCGGGGCCACCUGCAUGGCAGGCGAGCAUUCUACCACUGAACCACCGAUGC